CCCAACCUCUCCGCUUCGCCACUGAAAACACACGCCCUGGGAUCCCAGCCAGUCAGAGGAGACCUUAGCGAUUAAAUCCCCAGAGAGUCUGGAACACCCUCCCCUGCCAAGUCCAAAGUCCCUAAGGUGACCCUUUUGGCAUCGGGGGGGGGGGGGGCGUGUGUGUUGGGGCCCCACCUUCAGCCACCUCCCCCCCCCCACCCCCUGGCAGGGCGGGACACCGAGUAGGAAAACAAGAAGCUAAGCAAGGCCAGUGGCCUUAAGACCGGGGCCCUGCAGAGACACAGGAGCACCUGGCAGAAAGAGCUGGUCUUCGAAGAUGGAGCCGGGGGCGGGGGUGGGGGGCGCUGCCUGAAGCCUGGCACCCACCUCUUGGCCAGACUCACCCGGAUCCUGGAGCAGGAUGGAAAACGUUAUACGGUUUUAUGAAAAAUGACAAAAACGACGGGUGAAGGAUGCGGGUGCCAAGCCCCAUCGCGACACCUCAGUCUGGGCUGUGGAAGGCGAGGAGCUCUUACAGGGACCCAAGAUGUCACGGCCAAGUGCGUCUGGGAUGCCCUGGGCCUCUCGAAGUAAAAUAAAGACCAGCUUUAUCUGUAGCAGGCCUUGUUAGAGUCCGUACCUUGAAAUAGAGGCUCUAACUGGGGAAGGGGUCCCACACUUGGCCCCAGAAGCCCUUCGUCAUGCAGCUUCUGAUCUGGACACACAGCCAGGCUGGCAUUUGGGAAGCGUGCGGGCGCUCGCGAGGGGCCAGAGGAAGCAAGGAUGCUUAGGAUCUGCUCCCUGGACCAGCGAGGUCUCGGGAAUCCUCACGACAGCUACACGGAGGCCCUACCGCGCACCAGACACCAGGCCAGGGGCGCAAGGACGAGGAUGAAGGCAACCUGUCCCCCAGGCCCUCUCGGGCUAGGUGGACCGUGGAAGGUUCUGGACUUCGAGCAGACCUGCCCGGAGAAGCUCUCACCCCAAGAAGCAGAGGAGAGGGCUAAUGCCAGGUCCGGGCAGCAUGGGAUGCUGAGCCCAAAAGUUCCAACGUUAUCAUUUUUUUGGCCUCACCUGCAGCGGGUAGAAGUUCCCAGGCCAGGAACCAAACCUAUGCCACAGCAGUGACCGGAGCCGCUGCAGUGACAAUACCAGAUCCUUAACCCACUGAGCCACGAGAAACUCCAAAAAGUUCCAACUUUAGCCAUGGAGAAACCAGAGUAGUUUGUCUUCGAAAGGGAAGGACAUGAUGAAACUAGUUUUAGGAAAAUCAACCUGGCCAGAAAGAUAAAUAGGCAUGGGGAAGGCUCCAGAAGGCAGAGACCAACUAGGAGCUGAUGUAAUCCACCACCCAGAAUCUAGCCUUCUGUGGGUUAGGGAAGGGGUCUCAGAGCCAGGGGUCUGGGUACAGGAGAAGGGCCCACAUCCGGAGAGCGGAAGAAAAACAGGCAUCGAAGGUGCCCACUGCGCCCAGCCUGAGUAAGGAGGCAUCCAAGGAGGCCAAGACAGCGCCCGCCCACCAAGACGCCCCCAUUCGGUCUCUGCCAGGGAAGCAGGUGCACUCUGGGGAGAGUUCAGAGAGCUGGCCUUUCCCCCACAAAAGCAAGCUCAAGGACACACCUUGCUGUGAAGCCACCUUGCGGUGACAACAUCCCUGUGGCUCCCAUCAGAGAAUGCCUGCUCCUUUCAGGGCAGAGCCCAAGGUGGCAGCUGCUCGCAAGCGGCGAGUCUGGAAGGCAAACACCCCCCCACCCCACCCCACCCAGGCUCAGGUGUCCUGGCCCAGGCCAUGCACUUGGGCAGCUUUUAACGCCCACUGAGCAAUUUCUUGAGAGUUCUGCUUGGCAGGUACCGCCUCCCCACCUGGGUUAAUAGAGGGGUGCAGCCCAGGAAAGAAAUUAAAUUUGCCCACAUUUUGUUCUGGAAGGAACGAGGGGAGGGGAGCCAAUCAUUUAUGCAGUAAUUACGUUUGCCUUCAGGCCAGCACUGGAAGUUGCUGCACUAGCGCUGGCUUUGCAGACGCUGGCAGGAGCAAGAAAGCAGAAGUGUCCCAGGCAAUCCAGCAACCACGUCACCUCUGAAGCACUUCACAUGCAAAUGGGAACCCAAAGUGCAAAGACCAGCUCCAUCCCGGCGGCAGAUGAAUUUAUUUCCACAGCCAGAGACCAGCCUGCCCCUUGGACAGCACCUCUCAAGUCCAGCACUCUGACACCUGUUGAAGGUCACCAUUUACUGUCCCUGAUCAAGAGAUCAAAGGAUCGGACCUCACAGGCUAACUCUGAAGUUUUGCCCCAAAGAGUUAAUGCACAAGAAGAAUCAACACAGUUUUUGAAAAGAACAAUGAAGAGGUAAUUGCACAACUGACCUCAAAAUAGACUGUGAUGCUACAGAGGCUGAAACAACACCGGCUGGUACAGAAAGACACCUACAGGUCAACAAAGCAGAACAGAAGAUUCCAGUACAAAAAGCCGAGCACAUGGGGACACUGCCCGGCAAAGAGUGACAUUUUAAAAGAAUGAGGGUGUGAUGGGCCAUGCCAUCAAGGUGUUGGGACAACUCCCUCUCCACCUACCGGGGGGACCGUUCAGAUCCCUCCCUCAUCCCGUAUCCUCCCCCCAACUCAAAAAAAAACCAGACAAAAUCAUGCCUGAAUAUAAAACAACAAAAUAACAACAGCCCAGGAAGAAAAUAAAGAUGCAUUUAUAAUCCAGGGGUAGAGAAGGCAUGGAACUCAGAACCCCUACGGGAAAAGACUGAGUUUUCUUACCUGAAACUGUCUAAAGUCUUUAUGAUAAGAAACCACCAAAAAACAAGGGUGAAAGGAUAGCUCCAGACCAGAAGGAAAAUCCGGAACGAAUAUAAGAAUUAAUGUCCACACCAAAGAAAGCGUUCCCACAAAGCAAUAAGAAAAAGAUAAGCAACUCCAUGGGAAAACAGGCCAAGCAUGGGCGAUUUACAGAAAAUUGCCAAUAAGCUAGGAAUGAGAGAGGUGCAAACCAAAAUGUGUUAACUUUUUCUUUUUUGUCUCUUUAGGGCUGCACCCCUGGCAUAUGGACGUUCCCAGGCUAGGGGUCGAAUCAGAGCUACAGUUGCCGGCCGACACCACAGCCACAGCCACACAGGAUCUGAGCCUCGUCUGCAACCUAUACCACCGCUCAGGUCAACACCAGAUCCUUAACCCACUGCGUGAGCUCAGGGAUCAAACCCACAUCCUCAUGGAUAUGAGUCAGGUUCAUUACUGCUGAGCCACAAUGGGAACUCCGAAAUGUGUUACGCUUUUUAAACAAAUUUAUUUUUUAAAAACAGAAGUGUGAUACGCAAUGCUGGAGCGGGGAGAGCAGGUACCCUCCUAGAGGCCUGGUAGGGUGUAAGUUGGUGCGGACUUUUUGGAAGAAUUAGUUAUCAUCUUUGACAUUUUAUAAACAGACACACUCUCUGACAAGGAGGGCAUCCUACAGAAAUAAUUGAAUACAUGGGCACACAUACCGGGCAAUGCUGUUCAGUGUCAUGCAUUUAUUGUAACAGCAAUAAAGCCUGGAAAAACUUAAAUGCUACCAAGCCGGGUAAAAGCCAUGAAAUACGGUGGACCCAUACUAUGAAAUACUACUUAGGUUUUUUUUUUUUAAUGGAGUUUCCGUCAUCGUAGCGCAGCAGAAAUGAAUCUGACUAGAAACCAUAAGGUUUCGGGUUCGAUCCCUGGCCUCGCUCUGUGGGUCAAGGAUCCGGCGUUGCCGUGAGCUGUGGUGUAGGUCGCAGACACGGCUCGGAUCUGGCAUUGCUGUGGCUGUGGUGUAGGCGGGCAGCUGUAGCUCCGAUUCAACCCCUAGCCUGGGAACCUCCAUAUGCAAAAAAAAAAAGCAAAAAAUAAAUAACACAUUAAACUAUGUGUUGAAGGCGUGGUCAUCUCUGAGGAGAAAAACAAAACAGGCCAUAAAGGACACUGGUCUUUCCCAGAAAGAGGCACCAUGCGGUGAAAGUCGUUUCUAAGUAUUCGUGUAUGUUUUACAUUUAAAAAAUAGACUGUACCCCUUACACCCACUAGGACAGUGAGAACCCCAGAGAGGAAAAGUCACUCGUGUCAGCCAGGACGCAGAGGAACCGAGAGCCCCGUGUGCCGCGGAUGGGAAGGUAAACGGGUACAGCCGCUGGGGAAGCCAGUUUCACGAUGCCUCGGAAAUUGAGUACAGAAGGGCCACACUGAUCCAGCGACUCCACUCCGCGUGUGUCCACACACGUGGAAGCAGAGAUUCCAACAGACACUUGCACGCCCUUGUCCACAGUGGCCUCAUUCCCAACAGCCAGGGGCUAAAAGAACCCAAGUGCCCACUGCAGGCGGGUGGGUACACAGAGCAUGCACCCCUGUCCACACCACGGGAGGCCAUUCAGUCAGAAAAAGGAUGCAUGAACCUCGAAACAUUCCACUACACGCAACGAGCCAGACACAAAAGGACGAACACCAUGGGAUGCCACCAACCGGAGGCACCUCGAAAGGGCAAAGUCCCAGACCCGGCAGAGGAGCAACGAGGCUCCCCGGGGUGGGGACCGGGAAUGGGGAGUGGCUGCCUAAUGGGUAAAAGCAGUUUCUGCUUGGGGUACUAAACACCUCUUUGGAAAUGGUGGUGACAGCUGUACAACCCUGUGACUGUAAUUAAUGCCACCAACUCAUAUACUUAAGCGUGGGGGAAAGGGGGAGUUCCCUGGUGGCACAGAGGGUUAAGGAUCUGGCAUCGUCACUGUAGUGGCUGAGGUCGCUGCUGUGACGUGGGUUCCCUCCCUGGCCCAGGAACAUCCACGUGCCGCCGCUGCAGCCAAAUGAAAGGGUUUCUUUCUUUCUUUCUUUUUAAGAGGAGGGCAAAGCAGGCUGGAUGGCAGAGCCGGGGGCUGUCACAGCCUCAGGAGGCCCCACUCCACCCCUCAAACGCAGGGUCCCAGAGGGUUGGGGAUGGAGCCAGGCGGACCUCUGGGGAAGCCCCUCAGCCCAGCAGAGGAGGAGCAGGGGGCAGGGCCUGGCAGAGGCGGCACCUCCUUGCUGCAGCUCAGCCACUAGAAAAGCUGCAUCGAGGCAAACUGAAAGCACUGCCAAAACCCACACAGAAUCAAACGGCGACCGAGAAAGCAAACAAGAAAAUACCCAGAAAGCACAGUCGCCUCCAGCCUCCAAAGGGCUCGGCGGUGACGUCACCAGGACAACUUCCUCUGGGGUCCUGGGCAAGAGACCCCCAGUGAGAGGGACAGAGGACAGUGGACUGUGAUUCCGGACGCAGACGUGAUCAGAACCUGAGGUCCCUGAGCCACACGGCCGCCACCACAGCUGGAGCCUGAGCAACACGCAGCCCGCAGCCAGGCCAGCCGCGGGUCCCUGCCCCUGACCUGGCGACGGACAAGAGCGGGCUCAGGAGCGCUGCCCAGGGCUGGAGAACAGGUAACGGACGCAGUCAAGGGCACACGGCCCCACACGGCCGAGGGGCCCAGGACCGCCCCGUCCCCUGGGAGGGACAGCGACCAGGCCUGCUCCUGCUGGAGCACACUCCUCGGGGACAAAUCACAGUGACCCUGACACCUCCCCCCCUCCUCCCAGCCCCCCGCUGGGAUGUUUGGGAGUCUGAUCCUCAGACUCUUAGAAGGUAACAGACAUAUACACACUAUUACGUGUAAAAUAAACAACCAGGCCCCACUGCAGAGCACAGGGAGCCAGACUCAGUCCUUUGUAAUGACUGACAACGGAAAAGAAUCCGAAACGGAACAGACGUACACACAUGAACAACGGAAUCACUUUGCCGAAACUAACACAACAUCGCAAAACAACUAUACUUCAGUUUUUCUGAAAAAAGGAAAAAUCUUUUAAAAUGUGUGGGAAUGGUCACAUGUGGGAUUUCAAUUUUAAAGGUGGGAACCCCUGCCACCGUGGUCCUUCUCCAGCUUCUUCCUCACGGAUGCUGCCUCGCCGAACCCCAGCCAGCGCCCCGCAAGGUACACGCCCCCGGCCCCAUUGUGCAGAUGGAGGAAACUGAGGCCAAGAGCUAGCAAACCACUUUCUGGAGCUGAGGAAAAAGGAGCGAGCGACCUGCGGGCCAGCUCUUUGCGUCCUCGCCCGCCUGCACCUGCCUCUGCGUGUCAGCAGCGCCUGGACCCACAUGGUCCCCGGGGCGCCCACAGAGCAGACGGGCCACUGCGUCCUGAGCAAACGUGUCCCGGGCCCGCAGAGGAAGAGCUACAUGCAGCCCCUCGCUCCCACUGGAGCCCCAAUUUGAGUGUGUUAAGGGACUGUCCCCCAGGCCUCAUAAGCCACAAAUGUCCCGCUCCUCCCAGGACUUCUGUGAUCAAACAUGGCACUGGGUCCACCCCGGGGCCCCUCCUCCCUGGAGGCAGCACUGCCCCUCAGCUCGUCCCCUGGCCCUUCGCCAUCAGCUCUCCGGUCUCCAAGGCAAACCCGUCCACCUCCUGGGCCCGGCUUUAAACAGCCUCCACUGUCCAAACCCCACCGGACGAGCAGCCACCAGCCCGUGUGUCUGUGCCUGCAGAGAGCAGACCCCAAGCAAGGUCAGGCCCGAGAGGGAGCGGCCGAGCGCUGCUCCCCAAGGCUGGAGCUGCUACGGCCUGGAUGCACCUCGAAAGCACUGCGCCAAACAAGACGCCAGACGCCAGCCAGGACAGGCAACACAUCCUACGACUGAUUCCCUGAACGGGAAGGGUCCAGACAGGCAAUGCCGCAGACACAGAAAGCACACCGACGGCCGCCUGGGCUGGGACCAGGGGAUGGACGGCAAGAGAACUGCUCAGUGAGUAGGGGCUUCAUCCUGGGGGCACGGAAACCUUCUGUGUCGCGAUAGGAGUGGCACCAGCCCCCCAGUGUGAAUGUACUGAGAGCCACUGAACUGGAUUCUUUAAAAUGGUUAAUUUUGGUGUUAUGUGAUUUUCACCUCAAUUUAAAAAAAAAAAAAAAAGGGUCAAUCCAGCACCUUUCCCCUAGGA